ACACACACACACACACACACACACACACACACACACACACACACACACACACACACACACACACACACACACACACACCUAUUUGCAUUUUUGGUAAUAUCAACAGUCUAGUGGUACUAAAUAAAAGCUACUAGAAUUUGGAGGUUUCUACUUCUGUAGGUUUUGAAAGACUGAUAUAUAUAUAUAUACUGAUAUACUGUCAGUUUGUGUUGGUUUAAAACUACUAAACCUUAAGUACUGAACCAAUUGCUGGCCAUAGACAAUCCCAACCUGAUGCAAGUUCUGCCCUCCAACAACAGGGUCCUUCUGCAAGUGUGGCAGAAAUGACAAGAAAACCUAAAAACUGGGUUAAGAACUUAGUGUGAGUGACACUUUAGUCUUUCUUUCCCAGACAGUAAAACAGAUCCUGCCGCUGGGAAACGAAACCCAGAGGAGGAUACAAAUGCAUUUUUGUAGACACUGAGGUUUAACUGUUUAGUUCUGCGUGCCUAAAGGAAUGGCGGUUGCUUAUGCCGCGAAAUCAUUUGUUGAACAUUUAAUACCUUUUUUAAAAAAUGAAUCUUUGUAUUUCUGAGGUGUUUUUUAUGAAAUUUCAUGUAUGAUAGCUGAAAGGUAGAGUUAACCUGCAGAAUAAUGGAAUUUUCACUUGUUUUGUGCGCAUUAAAGGUUUUUAACAAGUACUA